AGUUGGUGGGUCUAUCCAUGAGUGGGUUCAAGAGCAUCAAGCUCGAUUGCAGGUAGCCUUUGAUGGGGCUAGAGAGCACCUGAAACAUGCUGCAGAUCGCCGAAGGCAGGCUCAUGAUACCCAGGUGAAACAUCUGCCAUUAAAGGAAGGGCAACUUGUGUUUUUGCGUGACUUUACUGCUAGGGGGCCUCAUAAGACAAGAGACCGAUGGAGCUCUGUGAAGUACAAGGUAUUGAGGGCACCAAAGGGGGGUGGCUCUGUUUACACCAUUGUGCCUCUGGAUGACCAAACUAAAGUAAGACAGGUGCACCGUACCAUGUUAAAAUCUGUGGUUGGUGUUGUUCCUCCUGAUCACACUCCUCCCCAUAACUUGCCUCCCGUAGAAAAGGGACUGACUGAGGAUAAUGGCCCCUUUGAUUAUGAUCUGUUUGUUUGUGAACAGCAACCCCUAGUGGUUGCUUCUGCCUUACCUCCUAGUAGGUUGCGGCCUCAAAUUCCAUCUCAGGAACCUGGACCACCUUCUGUACCCGCUGCACCCACCGAACCCUCUACAUCUUUGGCUGGUCCAUCUGUCAGCUGUGCUGACCCAGUGGCCCUACGUCGCUCCAACCGUCCAACUGCUGGUCGACAUACUAAUGUGAACCAUCUCCCACGGCCAGCAGGAGACAUUCAUCCUAGGGGCGCUUCUGCAUCUUUGUCAACUGUAUCAGCUUUGUUUAGACCUUGGAACUGAUAACAUCGGUUUUGAAUCAGCCAUCGUCGGGUCGACGAUGCAAGAAGGGGGGGUAGAAUGUAGUGGUAUAGAAAUAUACAUAUUCCUAUACAAAUAGUUUCCAGGUGUGACGCUCCGGUUGGGUAAAGUGGGCGGGGUAUAUAAGCGGCCGCUGUGCCCAGUCAGACAUGUGUCUUCCUCAUCAUCCACUGUGUGGCCCGCGUCUCUUGGGUUCCGGCGGAAGAAAAGGCAACAUAUCGCCAGUGUGGUGCAUGCUGUUUUGAUUCCCUGGUGGUGAAACGCUAUUGUGCUGCUCUCCUCUGCUUCCUCGUUCAGCGAGUGUGUGUGUGCGUUUUUGCCUGGAUUGACAGGUUUCCCCAUAUUCGAACCAUUGCUGCUCUUUUGGAUCCCGGAUUGUGCACGUCAUCAGUUGAACUCGGACUGUGGUGGCGCCUGCACGCCUUAAUUGAAGCGGUGUUUGGGGUGUGGCAUCGGCGCGCCGAGCUCGCCUCCUGCUGUGGCGUGACCAGAGCCACACCGGAUCUUAAUCUUCAACUUGGAUUUUCUAUUUUUUUCUUUAUUUAGUUUCCAGCCCUUUAGUUCCUUUAGAUAAUUGUUUAUUUAUUUGGGCGGAUAUUGUUUUUCUUUUGUUGUAUUAAGUAUAAGGUUGUUGUAUUUGGUUAACUGUUUUUCUGUUGUUUGCAGUUGCUGAGGCCCGGUGGCGGUGCUGGUGUGGUGACGGUGUCUCCCUCUUUUUUGUGCCGUGAUUCCUGAGUUUUGGUUGUCUCACUGCGUCUGGUGCUUUUACGGUUUUUUUGUUUGCUGUGUUUGGUGGAUGCCGUCCCUAUAGUGGCCCCUUCUGCCGGUGACCUCAGCUACUAUAGUUUUUUUUCUGUUUUUCCUUAGUUUUUUUGUUGUAAAGAACUGGUUUUAAAAAGAGUUUUAAAAGAAUUUAAUAAAUAGCUUUUUGUGUAUUUGAAAUUGCCUCAGAUGUUUUAAUUCAUGCAUAACCGAACCUGUGUGCUUUAAAGAAAAGAGGUAAUAUUCUCUGGGUGAAAUUCCCAGGGUGGCGCUGUGGAGCAACUUAAUUGGGUUUAGAAAUUUAAAUUGCCCAAUAUUCUUGAUUUUAACCUAGUCUCGC